UGUGAAUUGGUGUAAAAUGCAUAUAAAUUUUUGAUUUUUAAGGUUAAGUUUAAUUCUUUAAUUUACAA
rnacentral:tRNA from 1 species